UUCACAUGGAUAGUGUGAAUGGCUUGAAGAGUAAUCUGUGUGGAAUCCAAUUCAUGUUUCCUUUGAAGUCAACUAAAUAUGCGAUUAAAAAUCUUCCCACAAACUAUUCUUGGGGCCCAUGUCACUUCCACACUGGGUCCUCCCGUCAGCUAAGCUAGAAAUGUUCGUCAUAUACAGGUUAUUCCAAACAAAGAACCAUUUUCAGAAGGUCAACUGCCCAGACAACUAUGACCAUUGAUCAAGAUGGCUGGAUGCAUUCAGAUUGUCAUCCUUGAGUGGCUCCCAGGACAGAGGGGACAACCGAGUCCUGCUUCUCAUGAGUGGCAGGUAAGUGGAGCUACCACAAAAGGCUGGACAUUUCUCCCAGUGACCCAUGACAGCCAGGUUCUUCCUGACCAACACCUCUGAACUUGCUCUACCUUCACCUCACAGCAGCCCCAUUUUGUCUUUCUGAACUACUAACAAACAGCCUGAAAAGACCUCAAUUCUGGAGAGCAAGACCAGCAGUGACUUCCCCAUCACAGAAGGGAACACAGGCUCUUGCUUCUGCCCAGGGAGCCUGGUGGGCCCAGUCCUUACACGUUAUGGCAAGAGGAAUGACUUCAGGACCUGCUCCUCGAGUCAGUCUUUCCUACCUACAGAAGGUGCUGUUGUGACCAGGAUCAACACUGGGUUUUCUAGAACAGUGUUCACAGUUGGUACUAAAGGCAACAAAAGAGCAAAGCAGAGACUUCUGGUGCCAAGUACUCCAGAUGUACUUUCUCUCCCUCUUGGCAUUUCCAGGCCGCAGCACCUAUCAUGGACCUGAGAAACUGCCAAAGCAGAUUUGGAUCUGUCAUGACAAUCUCAGUUCUUUAAGCCUUGCUCUGAGUACAGGCAGUCAGGAUGUGGUUGUAGGUCAUAUAACUAACCCUAGGGACACAGCAGGCAUCAGUUCCCAGGCAUCUGUAACAGGUGCCCUCAUCUCCUGAGGAAUACAGGGCAGAGGAAACAACAUUAUGUCAGUGCUUCUAAGAGUUCAUGCCUCAACUGAGCAAGGGUAACACACAAGUAUUGGGGUAAGCACCAUCCUUGCUAAGACAAGACAGCAGUUCCUUCCCUAAUAAGAGUUUGGGUUGGUUUUUGCUCCAUGUAUAGGCACUUUGCCAAGUCCUGCACUCACCUACUCAUCACCCCCAGAGGAACCCAGAAACUGUAGUGCUCCCCCUCCCUUGGGAAAAGGUUCCUUGACUCUAGAUUUCACAGGUUGAAAUAGUGUCAGUUGCAAGUAGAAUCAGUCUCCCAUGGAUCAGGAACAAGAUGGAUCCCUUGGGACACACAAAUUCCUAGACAGAAAGUAGACUGGAAAGCUUGGUGAUUACAAAGGGCUGAGCUUCCACACCACAGUAUAAAAAGCUGUGUUCCUUCCCCAGACCCUUGUUUCCAUUUAGCUCCAACUUCAAGUUCAGCACAGACUGGGAGAGCCCUCACUUAGUCUAACCUUAGCUGUGCCCACCUCUUUAUCUCUAGAUCAAGGCUAGGAGCACACUUUCCUCCUGCCACUGAUCAAGUUGCAGCCUCUGUUUCCAUUUUCUGCCCAUGAGUGCCAUCUGAUCAUGCUGUAGUUCUCCGAGCCUGCUCUCGGUUUGAGGGCUACCCAAUUCAUGAGUCAUUUCUUUACUCAAUUAAGCCCUUUUAAACCUAAGAUUUUUAACAGAUUGGAAAUUUACUUCAGAUCCUACUUCCAUUUCCAGUGACCCCUACAAGUACCAAGAGACCACAUUAAGCCACCUGCCAGGGCCCAUUGUAUCCAUUGAUCUCUUGCAGUAACAAGCUCUUAGGUGAGUUCCCUCAGCCAAGCUCCAUGGAUUUGUGUGUUGAACCAGGCUUAUCUGAGCAAUUAGCUUGUACGGCAUCUAGAGUCAGACUGGAUCUAGUUAGAAGUCUUUGGUGAGUGUUUUGAUAAUGGAUUUGUCUCAACCUGAGGUGCCUGGGAUUCCAGCUAAUCUGUAAGAAAUAUGGACCUAGAAUUCAGGAAUUCAGAAAUAGCUUAAUCAUCUUACUAGAGACAAUUUAGAAUUAUUACAAUGGGAAAGUUUUAUUUAAAGUUGUCCACUUUGGGGGUGCAUCAGAAAAGGAGGAAUUAAAAGACCCAAAUAAAGCAAUGGAAUGCAUUUUUGAAUUGGUGCUGAGGCAGCUGAAAGAUAAAAGUUGCCUUCCUAAAGGAAUCUUUACAGAAUGCAAGCAAAACAAAAGCUUAAGCAAGUGAGCCUCACUAUAAAAGGACUGCUGACCGAAUUGGCCCAACUGCACACAUCGACUCUUUUGUAUGGUUACAGAUAAUGAAGACACAGAAGUUAAAUGCUUUAACUAAGCAAGAUACUCUAGGCCAGGCCUACCAUAGCCCUCCUCGCUCUCUGGUCCAAGAUCUAGCUGACAGCCAUUGCAGAGGACUUCCCUAAAUGGAGGGGAAGUCCUUAAACCUUGGCCAAGGAAUUCGGAGUACUUUUGGGUGGUUAGGAUCCAAAGCUCCCUGACCUUUAUCAACUUAUUUACACGAUUUUGAAGGUUGACACAGCAUGGAAAGUUGUGACAGGACAAGCCUAGAGAGGAUAUCAGAAACUUCAAAAUCUCACAGAAGGGGCCUAAUGGAUCUGGGAGAAUUGCUGAAAUCCUUUUCCAGUCAGUUCUUACAGGUCUUACACAAGUAUAUUCAAUUGUUCUGCCACAAGAUCUUGCAGACAAAACAGGAACUAGCUUUUGGUUAUACAGCUCAUUGUGAACUCUUGUUGUAAAAUAUUCUGUGCUUAAACAGCUAAAGUAUUCCCAUAGGGAAUGAGACUAUACUGUUAUAUUAAGUGGAUUUUGUCCCGAGAUUAGUUGCCUAACAAAUUGAGAUGGAAAGCUACAGAUGAGACCGAGUUGGUGGCCCUGGCUGCCCAUUUUCAGAGUGGUCUAGAGCAAAGGGGAACCCAAAAAGGCUAACAAGCCUAUUUGUCUCCAAUUACAGAGACCCAGGCCAGAACGGCUUCCAUGCUCUCAUUUGAAACGGUUUCACAAGGUCCUAGAAUCAGGCACCCCUACACUGAGGAUGUCUACCUUCACUGUAAACUAUCACAGUGGGAGACACACUGUACGUCUACAAUAAAAAGUUCUUAGGACUCUGCCCAGGAGCCUACGUGGUAUUCACUCAUAAUUGUCUACAUUAAAAAGGCUAUUUUGCUGGAAAAACCACCAUUGAGGAUUUUUCUAGAAAAUCACUCCCCAUAGUCUUUAUGUGAACAUGGAGAAACAAAUUUAAAAUUGGGGAAUCUUGUACAAUUUUGUGGAUACUAAGUUGCCUUAUCUACCAUAAAUCCCACUUUUACAAACCAACAAACCCUUCAGAAUGAGGUGAGUUCUGUGGUGAGAGGUUCAAAUCACAUCAAGAGGUUCCUACAUUUAAGCCUGUUUGAUAUUGGUGCCAUUUUCAAAACACGUUUUCCUAUAUAUACUCCUAUUGAACUUGCUACAGCAAGACUUUCCUGACAAGCUAACAGGGCAUAGAAAAGUAUCUGAAGAAAAUCUUCUCUAGAUUCCUCUUAGUGAGAGCUACUAUGCUUUCUUAGAAAUGGGAAGACUAAAACUCAGACCUGUAAUACUGACUUCUUUCGUAUCUGGAUGUUUAUGGGCUUCCUAAUUCAAAAUGGUUCAUAGUAACAGGCUUCUGUUGUGUGCAGCAUUCCAGCUGACAGAGGGUCAACGCAUUUGCAUUUACUUAGAAACAAUCGUAUACCUGAACUGUAAUGUCACAUGGCCUCCGGAAGUGCCCUUGCAUUUCCCCCCAGGCAUUGCAUCAAGACUUAGUAACCCUACAGAUUCUCAAAUUCUACGCUCAUUCAGCACAUGAACUAUCAGUCAUUAUGGUCCCCUACUGAAGUGCCCUGAAAUUGGUUGUAUUAUCUUUCACAGCAACUCAAAGAUCAAGGCUUUGAUGGGAAAAUUUUCUUCAGUAGUAGUACACUGGUCAAGGCAUGACUUUGCUACUGAAAGGCUCUUCCCGCCUAAAAGGGCUAGAGUUAGCAAGAGGUUUCCCUGCAAAGGAAACCGCAUAUCUUAGGUCCCCAGUUUUUCCUUAAUAGCCUCACCAUGGUAUCAGCUUACUAGGCACACAGCACCAGUUUCUACCUUGAGAAACAGUCAUAAUCAGGCUUUCAUAGAGGCAUAAAGUAGCUUUAUAACAACCUCCAGCCCUAAGACUUAUGUUCCAUUCCCCUUUCUCCUUCAUUCAUGAAUAUAACAAGCACUCUAAGUUCUCGUCUAAGAAUGUAGGGGAAGACAGGCACAUUGCAUAUUACAGCUUGUAAUUGGACCCAGUAGCCAACCCAUAUCGUAACUACUUCUGUUCACUAGCAGAAGCCAACCUGGGAGAUGCUUCAUCUGAGCUAGUUUUAGGAAGCUGAUUGAAUUGGCAAGUCUCAAGUGCUGGGAGAAGUCUAUUAAAUUCCAAACUCAGCAUUUUUCAGCAAGUAGACUAAUAAAGUCUCUCCUGUUCCUGGAUCUCCAUCUAAAAUGCUACAGCCUACAUAAUCCUGUUCCACCACCUCUAACAAUGCAAGCAACAUUGGAAAUCUUGGCCCCUUGUUGACUUGAGAUGCUCUAUUGGAGGAUUCUGAGCUAAUACUUGUUGAUGGAUCCUAUGUUGAAAGCCAAAAAGGAAUCAGGUCAGGUAGUUUGCCAAAACCCAAGAAGAGUAAAGAAGGGAACUCAUCUCUGAGUUGUCUGCCCAAGGUACAGGAACCCAUGUUCUCACUCAAGCUUGUCACACAGAUCAGGACAAAAGUAUUUAUGUAGGUAGAUGGACUUGAGUAAUCCAGGAUUUGGAUAUAUUGUGGAAACAAAGAGGGCUUCUCACUGAUUGGAGAAUCCCAUCAAAAACAGACUCUAAAGUGAUGAACCCCGGGUCCAGUGCCAUGGCACAGUGGGUUAAAGCCCUGGCCUGAAGCACAAGCAUCCCAUAUGGGUGCCGGUUCUAGUCCUGGCUGCUCCUCUUCCCAUCCAGCUCUCUGCUAUAGCCUGGGAAAGCAGAUGGCGGCCCAGGUCCUUGGGCCCCUGCACCCACAUGGGAGACCCCAAAGAAGCUCCCGGCUCCUGGCUUCUGAUUGGCUCAGCUCUGGCCAUUACAGCUAUCUGGAGAGUGAACCAGCAGAUGCAAGACUUCUAUCUCUGCCUUUAAAAAAAAAAAAAGAUACAGUAAAUCUUAAAGAGACGAAUUCCUUUCUGCUGUCCUGUUUGCUGCCAUAAGCUUCAGUGGAGAUUGAAAGUCAUGCUUGUACCUGAAAACCCAGACCUUAUCAAGGAAAUGCUAUGUCAUUUUAUGCUGAAUCAGUGUGAAACUGAGGACACUCAAUUUGAAUAAACUGUAAGGUUGACUCAAGUCUUAACAGUGCAAUAUCAAAACUUGGAAAAAUAAAGUUAGCAUCUGAAAGAUUAUAAAUGAUAGAAACAUGAACUCAAAGAGGGCCUACUUGGACCUUCCCGAGUUCUUAAACCUGCUAUGAGAUACACACUCCAUAUUUCAUCAUGGAACACAAUGAUCAAGUUAUGAGAAGAUAUUGGUGCAGUGACUUUCAAAAGUCACUAACGCAGAUAUAACUGGUGUUUGGUUUGUCAAGCCCAUAAUUCUGGGUGUAUGGGAAAAAUAAACUUCAGUUGGUGUAUUUCAGCCAACCAGUGGGUGAGAUGAACAUAUGCAAUAGAUUUUGUAAGGCUGAAGCUGGCCACCUGAUCAAUGCAUGUUCAUGUGAGUGUGGAUCUAGUCGAGGUAGCUGUAUUCUCCCUUUAACAGAUGCUACCUGUGCUGCAGGCUGGAGUUCAACCUGUUCUGAUCGAAGACGGCCUAACUGAUCAAAUCACCAUUCAUUAAACACCAUUAAACUGAAUUUGUCUAAGGUUACUCGUUUUGAUACUUCCCUUCGUGUCAAAUUUCCUUGCUGCCCGCAAAUGAUAUUUUAGGUCGGUAGCCUCUUAACUCACUUGAAAUGCAUUGGAAUUUGACAUUCAGAUUCAAGAUAUUGAGGACAACGCUUUAAAAAUAAAAAUCAAAGCUUUAUUAGUGCUUCACUAAGAACUCAGCAAUAUGCAAAAGAGCAAAACUCAAACCAUCAGAAUAACAUUCCAAUUAGGGAUCAAUUCUCUUCACUCUUUGGAAAGAAUAUAAAAACAGAAGAUGGUAGAAACAGAUAUCUAACGGGUCAGUUUAUAUUCAUAUGAAAAUUUGUUUGAAAUAAUCCCAAACAUUUGCUUAUCUGCCAUUUCUUUCCAGUCACAACAGUAACUUGAACACAUUUAGGUCUCAGCCCUGGGCAACACCCAGAGUCCCAAGCCCUCAGGACUUCAUUGCUAUCAUCGAUCUCUACCAGAGAUGCUGGUGAGAAUGACUGUUCAUCGUGAAAGUUGGAGAUGCAUCCCUAGAUGCACACUUGUACAGAAGGCAGGCAUGAUAGUUCUCUAAGCUUCCGGCACUUAAGACGGAGAUGAAUCAACUGUUCUGAUUUUGUGCGGUGACAAAGGAUUUUCAAGCUUACGUUGGCUUCCUUACUAGAGGUGUUCACUCUCACUGUGGGGACAACACAGAAACCACGCAUCAGCAAGCUUCUUCAGAGCAGUCAGCAAUGUUCUUUCAGCUGAAGGGAGACAUUGUGACUCAGAAUCCAAAUGAAAGAAUCCUCCCCUACACGUCUGGGCAAGCCAAGAGCCCUCCGAGAUGUGGCUACUCAUGUGGACUAACAUUGGCCAUCUUCCAUUCCACUUGCGUAACAGGCAUUUGAAGACCACUCAUGCUCAGCGUGUGAGAAUGGGUGCCCCAGAGGGAUCACAGUGAACAAAUCUGGUUCCCACACUGGUAGUCACGGCUACCUCUACAGGACUGUCUUCUCCCCUCAAGAGCUGAAGAGUGGGGGACGGUGCUGUGGCGUAGAGAGUGAAGCCACUGUCUGCAGUGCCAGCAUACCAUGAGUGCUGGUUCAAGUGCCAGCUGCUUCACUUCUGAUCCAGCUCUGCUACAGCCUGGGAAAGUAGUGGAAGAUGGCCCAAGUCAUUGGGUCCCUGCUUCUACAUGGGAGACCUGGAAAAAGCUCCCAGCACAGCUCUGGCUGUUGCAACCAUCUGGGGAGUGGGCCAGCAGAUGGAAGACUUCUCUAGCUCCACCUUUCAAAUAAGUAAAUCUUUAAAAAAAAAAAAAAAAAGCAAAUGAGUGACAGUGAACAAGAGUUUUCUUGUCUGAGAUAGUCUAGCCAAUCAGACACCACUCUUAGUAUGCCAGUAGCAAGAGUGCUUAAGGCACACUCUUGCUUUUCCGAUCAUUUAUAGAAGGGCUCACUCUUGGCCUUUAUUUCAGAGGAGACUUGAUGAAGGGGAAGAACACUUCUUUUUGAAACUGUACCAAGAUGCUAAAAGGGCCGAACUUGCUUCACUCCCUUAUGACUCCAUCACAGACUGCCCUUAGGAUGUUAUUCUGUUUUACAGGCCCAAAGCAGCUGAAAACUCACCAUAGCCUACUCUAAGGUCAGAGUUCUCAGUGAGGAAGCGCUGACACCAGUGAUUAGCUCUGCAUCAGGCCGUACACAGUAUACAAAAGCUCAGUUAAAUCUUGUGAAGCUGUAACUCUGAUCUGGGGCUGACAGUUCUAGAAGGACCAGUGGCAGAAGUGGGAGGCAAGGCUCAAACCUCUUGGAUAUUGGUUUCUGUGUCUGGCAGUCAUCCCUUGCUCCAACAACCUGUAACCUUUAAGGCACUCUGGUCUUGUGACUUCCUGCUUGAGGCACUCGAGCCCCUACAGGGGUACAAAGCUCUCUGUGCCCACCCCAAGUACUUCUAGGUUGUCCGAGCAGACACCUGAUGGAGGUUGGUUCUUACUUGUUACUUGUGAAGGAGUCUCAGGAAUAUUCCCUUUCCUAGGUCAGAUAAGCUGGUCUGGGAGGUACUGUAAGGGACCGGUUAUCCCACCAUCUUGAACAAUCCAACAAGGCCUGGUGUAUGGAACUCCCAGGACACCCAAGAGGGCAUAUCCAGAGCUUGGGCGAUGCUCUAGGAAGGAAUCUCCAUGAGUGCCACCCUCAGACCCCAAACACCCCCUCCCAGGGGAAGGUCUUGGUCUGGCCAUCUCACUCCUCCACAAAGUGGGAGAUAGUCACAGCAUACCUGACUGCAGACCUUCAGGUUAUGUUCAGAACUGGACUAUGUUUAGUUAUAAGCCGAAAGUGAUUCUCUUGUAACACCCCUGGCCCAAUAUCGGCCCGAGAAUGAGUCUACACUCUCACACUGUUACAAUUGGACUAGUUUUGUAGAAUAGGAUUAGAUCUCACAUGUAUGAUCUUAGAACUUCACACUGACAACUCCCCUGGGGCCACUGGUACCGCCUACUUUACUACACACUCAAAAGGGAAUGAUCUUCCCCACUCCUGUAUCAUCAGGACAGGAAACAAUACCUCAGGCUGCAAAGUUGAUCAUACAAGAAAGAGGCAUGUGAGGGGAAAACCUGACAGCUCUUUUCCUUGAGUACCACCUAUCUGACCCCACGAGUCUCCAUAUAAUACUCCCAUCUUUCAGGUGCAAAAACCAGGGACAAGAUAGUUUAUGCAAGACUCAAGGACCAAUCAUUUUAGAAGAUACACAGCCCGUGGUGCCAGUUCCCUAUACUUGCUUCCCAUUGUCUGGAGAAUGGCUGGUUCGCAGACUUUAAAUAUAUAUACAGCUUUUUAUUGCAUACCCCCUCCUGAGUCCGGAGAACUAUUUACCCUCAAGCGAGAUUCAGGUACUAGUGUGAACAGUAUUGCUGGGCAGUACUCCUGCAAGAACUCAAAGACACCCAGCAUCUUUGAGAAAGGUCUAGGUAAAGAUUUAGUGGUACUACUUAACAAGGGAAUCUUACUGAUCAGAGGACACUGCUAGUAAAAAUCUCAAAUCAUAACCACCCUGAUCCUCAAUUUCCUGGCAUAGUGGGAUAUAAAAUUUUUAAAAAGGAAGACCCAAGUUCCUCAACUUGAAGAUACCUAGGCUUUGAGUAGUUUGUGUUUUCCCCAGGAGGACGGGAGGCUCUGGCUAGAGUGGUCAUGCCUAUCUACCAAGGCAUCUAUAGACUCCUGUGUAUGACUGGAUUAAGAUCUGGAUUCCCCACCUUGAACUGAUUUCCAAGCCCAUACAAAGCCUUCAAAUGCCAUGGUGAUGAGUCAUAAUUGAACUCUAGAAUCCAUGGAGUAUUCCAAAACCAUAAAGGAGAAGCUUCAGAGACUCCUGGAUUCCCAGAUGUAAGAAAGCCAUUUCAUCUUUGUGUAUGACUGACAAAGUAGGAGCCUUGAAGUACUCACAAUUUAGCCAACACCAGGAAGUCUGUUGUGAACUUGAAGCAAGUGAACAUAGUGACUUAAGGACGACGAGUUUGUCUUCCAGCAGGUGUGACAGGACCUCUUACAAGAGGCUCAGAGGUUCAGCUCGGGCCAACAUAACACAUUGCCUGUACUAUUGCUGCAUCGACUUACUUCUGGGAGAUUAAGUGCCAGACCAUGCUGUUGGGUACCCCAAGCAUGAAGCUAAUGGCAGUGCCUGAACCCAGCCAGCCUGCUUCCAAACAGAAGAGCUUAUUCUUUGACUAUUUACAAAGAAUUGAAACUUACUCUAGCAGACCCUGCCUGACUGCUCAGCCUUUGAAAAACUUAUACCUGGAGAUCUUUAUGGACAAGAGCAGCUCCAUGGACCACUAACUCUAGAUACAGUAGUGACCCAGAGGAUCAUGGAAGUUGAGGCCCUCCUGACAGUUGCCCUCUGCUCAAAAGGUAGAGCUUGUAUUCCACCCAUGGGUCUUGUACCUCAGGACAAAGCACAAGGAGAUUCUAGAAUAUACAGCUCCUUUUGACAACCACUCUGGACCAUAGGCAUAACGUUCUCCAUUUCCUAUUUAAAGGUAGGAAACUCACGAGGCAGCAAUGAGUACACCAAGGACGUUCCUAUGACAGAACAGGU